GCCGCGGUAGUAUAGCCCGGUCAAGUAUGCGGGCCUCUCGAGCCCGUGACGCCUUGGUUAAAGGUGCGGGAGACCCGGGUUCAAAUCCCGGCCGCGGCA
rnacentral:tRNA from 1 species